rnacentral:rRNA from 1 species
GACGAACGCUGGCGGCGUGCUUAACACAUGCAAGUCGAACGGUGAAGCGCCUUCCUUUUUGGUGGGUGUGGAUGAGUGGCGAACGGGUGAGUAACACGUGAGUAACCUGCCCCCUUCUUCUGGAUAACCGCAUGAAAGUGUGGCUAAUACGGGAUAUUCUGGGUCUGUCGCAUGAUGGGUCUGGGAAAGAUAUUGUUUCGGUGGGGGAUGGGCUCGCGGCCUAUCAGCUUGUUGGUGGGGUGAUGGCCUACCAAGGCGGUGACGGGUAGCCGGCCUGAGAGGGUGGACGGUCACACGGGGGCUGAGACACGGCCCAGACUCCUACGGGAGGCAGCAGUGGGGAAUAUUGCACAAUGGGCGCAAGCCUGAUGCAGCGACGCCGCGUGAGGGAUGGAGGCCUGCGGGUUGUGAACCUCUUUCGCCAGUGAAGCAGGCCUGCCUCGUUUGUGGGUGGGUUGACGGUAGCUGGAUAAGAAGCGCCGGCUAACUACGUG